UCUGUACCAGCCUGAAACUCCCUCCUGCACCCAAACUCCCUCCCAGACCCCACACUCCCUCCAUUAAUAUAGUAGAAAUGUGUGGCCCAUGACGACUUCGUGGAGUGAUCCCUCUGCAAAAAUUAUUACCCACCUAUGUCUCAGCUGGUAUUAAAGAUGGUGGUAAUAACUGUCCUUUUGGAGAAAGGAGAAGUUGAGUGAGAGAGACUGGAGCUGUUGCUGCUUUUCUAAAAGUCCAACCCUGUUUUCUAAAAUGCAGAACAAGACAAAUGCACACAAAACGCAAGAGAAAUGAACAGCAAAGCUAGACAAUGCAGCCUCUGUCUCCGGUGUAGUCUCACGGCUUGAUUUCUCCACUGGACUUUACUGACCUUGGGCCAGACUGUUUUGGUUCAUCCUUAUCCAAAGGUUGAUUCCCCUUUCAGAUUUGUCCACGUCAGCCUUCAUCACCCAUUGGUUAAUUUUUGAAAUAAGCACCUUUCUCCCAUACUGCCUCUCGUGCCUGGGAAAUGCUUCCCAUAAGAAUCUGCUAAACAUACUCAUUAUCCUUCAUGAAAAUACUUGCUAAAAUUCUCCUUUGCUGAGAGGCCUGCAAAAAUCUUGACAACAGUUAGGUGCUGAGACCACAUCAUGCUGACCAAUAUUGUCUCAUUGUUUUGUUGUACUUCCCCGUUGGUCUGUCUGUAUCUCAUGUCUUAUGCUUAAAACAUAAGCUGUUUGUGGCAGGGACUGUUUUUUUCAUUCUGUGUUGUACAGUGUUUAGCACAAUGGCCUGGUCCAUGACUAGGGCUCCUCAGUGCUACAGUAAUACAAAUAAUAAUGUUGAUCACUCUAUAUUUCUGUUCUUUAGAAGAAAUUAGCUUUGUUUUUUGUUCCAUACCUCACCUAAAGAACAGUUGUAAACUCAUGUAUGCUUCUAUGUGAAUUUUGCUGAUUUUUUUUUUACAGUGAAGCCGGGAUGACGAUAUUGUUAGAGCCAGUUGGAAAACAGGAAUUUCAUUUCACAAAGGAUUUUGAAAUUUUUCGUUUCAAUAUGGAACAAAAACAAAGCCCUUUGAACUUUUUCAUGAAGAAACUUAAGAGGGCACCCAUCCCGCCCUAACAUCACCUGUAGCCACCCAGGUGGUUAGGGCACUCAUUUUGGAUGUGAAUGACCCAUGUUCAAGUCCCUUCCCUUUCUGAUUCGAGGCAGGGACUGGAAUCUGGGGCUCGCAAAUGCAGUUUCUGCCACUCCUUCGCUCCCUGAACUCGUGAGAGACAAGAGCUCCAUAUAUGGAAGCACCUCGUGGAGCAGGCUAUGAGGCUGCCUUUGUAUCCAGGCCAGUAGACCUCCUGUAUAGUGGCCUCAGAUUGCAAGCAUUGCUGCUCCGAGCAUGAUCUCUGGAGUAGACAGUAAGACUGUUAAGCCUAGAAAUCCUCACAUGAGAGCAGGCAACAUGACGAUAGAUAUAAGGACAGAUAUCCAUCCAGAUCAGCCUCUUAAGAAAAAGGAUCCCUCCCCAUCUCAGUCCAAGGGUGAGUACCCGUGCUCAGCUACUAGGGAGCUAGGUCUGCAUAAACCUGCCAUUCGGGUUUGCCUAAGAAGGCGAAGCGCGAAGGAAGAAAGAUCUGACUGUCCCAGUUUUGGCUUCUUCCCACAAGCCAGAAGGCGGGUACCAACCAGACCCAUCUGGGAGUUCCACCUUGGGACUCCAUUCAAUGGUUCCGACAUACUCUGUGUGGGAUCCUUUGAGUACUAGAUCUGGAUCUCCCAAUCCACUUCUCAGGGGCUCCCCAGACGUCAGGGAGGACCAAAACCUUUACCUCAUUGGAGGAUAUUUUCACUCUUUUGUAACCACAAUAUCCUCUUUUGUUGGUCCUGGCUCUCCUGGGAGAGAUCCCUACGCCUGAAGAAAUCACCUUGAGAGGAAGAGGAUCCUCUCCUAAUGUGUCCACAACUCACAAGAUCCUCUCACUGGUAUUGAUGUCACUACCAGUAGAGCAGGAGCCUAUUAUUUCAUCAAGAAAAUCUGUCGUUCCAGAUGAUGCUUCCCUCCCACUCUGAGGAAAACAACCCUAGAUAGAACCCAUAAGAGGUAUUGGAUCAGUCUGCCUCCUUCAGAAUACGGCUACCCAGAGAACCACUUCCCAGCAGGGAAGUCUGGCCUGCAACUCUAUUCCUAUUCAGUCUUCUUUCUUCCUUGGGAACCUGUUGUCGAUCACGAAAAGUCUACUUUAAUGCCCACAAGAUCUAUAGAUUUCAUAGGCGCGACCUAGGCUCGACUACAGUAAGAGCCUAUUUCCCCAUUGGGAGAUUUGAUGCCAUUAAAGAUCCGAUAAAGCAGGUCACUGGAGAAAUUCAGGUAGGAGUUCCUUUCCUCACACCUUCACCUGAAAAGUCUGUUAGACCUGGGGAGCCCAGAUGAACAAUCAUACUGCAGAAGGCACGUGGACUCUUCAGGAGACUAGGGUGUAUAUUAAUUUACUAGAAUUCAGAGUGGUCCAUUGGGCCAGAAACACUUUGGAUGUCACUCAUCCAAUCCUGGCAUAUCCAAGUAAUGCUGGAUAAUAUGACGACUGUCUUCUACAUAAACAAACAAGGGGGGAGCAUGAUCCCUCCCUCUGUGUGUAGAGAUACACCAAAUUGCAGAGACUGACUAUCGGAAGCCACAUAACCCUCUCAGCAGUAUACCUAUCAUGUGCAUGGCACUCACUAGCACUCAGUCUCAGUAGGUAUUUUUUCACAGGCCACAAAUGGGAGAUUCAUGAUUCUGUUCUGAACAAGAUCCCCAACCAGUGGGAAACAACAUUUUGGAAUCUUUUCAUCUUGCAAAAGCACAAAGAACUACUCCUGUAUUGCGCUAGAGCAACUCUGGUUGCAGCUCAAAGGACGAUGCCCUGUUGCUACCCUGGACAGAUCACCUCAGAUACAUUUUCCUCCCAUCCCCCUAAUAUAGGAAGCCCUGUGCAAGAACUGGGCUUGGGUAAUCCUCCAUGUGCCCAACUGGCCAAGACAGUUGUGGUUCUUGGAACUUCUGAGGAUUUCAACCCCAUCCUCCCAUCCACAUCUGACCACUUCCAGGUCUACUGACACAACGACAAUGCUACAAUCAGGUCCCCAGCCUAGGACCACUAUAUCUCAUGGCGUGGUAUUUGAAUAGGGAUCAGAUGCAGAGCAUACGUGUUCAGUGGCAGUUCAAUCCAUUCUUAACCAGAGGAAGACCUCUACCAAGAGAAGCUCUUUGACCAAAUGGAAGUACUUCUCUUCUUGGUUACAACAACACCAGCCAUCUCCAGAUCCUCUGGAAUCCCUGUUUUUGUAGAAUACCUACUUACCUGUAAGACAUCAGGCCUUUCUGUCAGUUCCCUUCAGGUCCACCUGCAGCAAUCAGAGCUUUUCAUCCUCUAAUUGAGGAUUAUCUGUACUCAGCCCAUGAUGACUAGAUUCCUGAAGAGACUUAUUAGAACUUUUCCAGCAAUGGUGAAACCAACACUUCAGUGGGACCUCAACCUCAUCUUUCUGGUUCUCACCAAAUCUCACUUCGAACCAUUAGCCACCUGUUCUUUGUCCCAUCUCUGGAUGAAAGUUGUCUUCUUAGUCACCAUCACAUCACCCAGGAGGAUGAGCAAGCUGGGAGCACUCAUGAUAGAUCGACCAUAGACCAUCUUCCAUAAAGUCUGUCUUUGCCUCCAAUUGAAGUUCAUUCCUAAAGUCAUUUCAAAAUUUCACAUGAAUCAGACUAUUCACUUAUCAGAAUUUUUUCCCCAAACCACAUGCCUCUGAUGCAGAGAGAAGGCUUCAAUCCCUAGAUGUCUGAUGGGCUUUUAUCUACAAAGAAUGAAAGAAAUUAGAAAAACACCUAGGCUUUUUAUCACCAUAGUAGAGUGAUCAAGGUGUAAAGGUCUAUAUGUGCAGAGACUCUUUAAAUGGAUCUCAGGCUGCAUGGAGGCGGUGAAAGUCCAUUCAAUUAGAGUUCAGGCAACCUCUGCAGCAUCUCUGCAAGACGUACCUUUACUAGAUGUAUGUAGGGGGGUGACCUGGAGCUCCAUACAUGCCUUUACAAGACAUUAUGCAUUAGACUAGACCGGGGUGGCCAAACUGGCUCGUGAGCUGUGUACAGCUCUUUUACAGUUAGUGUGGCUCCUCCUCUCCCCCACCCCGCCUUUUCUGCCUACCAGACUGAGGGGGUGGAGGGAGCUUGGGGUUCUGCCAGAAAUGACUGGUGCCUGCUGAGAGAGGGGGGCACAAUUAAAAGGUUUGUCCCCCCAAUAACUUGAGUCACACACCCCCAGUUUCACCUUCCUCUUUCGCUCAGCGUCCCUUCCCUUCCGCUCCCAGAUGUUAGCUCUGUGUGGAGAGGUAGCGGCAAACAGCUGGGAGCUGCACGGAGGGGCCUCUGCUUUAGCUCGUUGGGGAGAAGCAGCAGCAAAAGAAGCAUCUCUCUCUGCAGCUCCCAGCUGUUUCCCGUUACCUCUAUCCAAGGCAAAGCCCCCAGCUUGCCAGCUGCAGUGCAGGGAGGGGGCCUGGCAGCACAUGACCCCACGUGUCCUCCUCACACAUCGCCUCUGGCUGAAGCCCCGUGGGGCAGGAGGCACCUGCCAGGGCUUCAGCCCUGCGGGGCCAGAGGCGGGCCUCAGCUCUCGAACUUCUGAAGAUUGUCAUAUUCGGCUCAGAGGGUCAGUAAAUUUGGCCAUCCCAGUCUAGACUUCUACUACAGAUACAGCUGUUAACAUACUACCAUUUUCCAGCAACAACAAAAUUUGUCAAAAAAUUAUUGCAAGUUGCUUAAGAGGAACUUACUCAAAGCUCUGUCUCUGACCUGCUUCCCUCUGUUGCCUGGAGAAAAACCUAAACUUCAAUUUAACAUGUUUCAUGAAGGCAGAAAGCAGCAUGUUCUGGUUAGAUCCUGGGGAGUAGAGAAGGGUAUGUGAGUGCAGGGGAUGGAGUAGAGCACCGUUUCCCAAACUUUUUUGGCCACGGAACACUUUUUAGCCGAUUACGGAACACUACUUAUUUUGUAUUCAUUUGGUUUUCAAAUAAAUUGCGUUAUUUAUGCUCAAAUAUAUUUUAUUUUAUAAAACAAAGCAAAAAUACAAAUUUAAAAUAACUUGAACUAACAAUUUCUAACUGGAAAGCGCGUAUAAAGUAGUACAAAAAUCAAGUGCAAGAGUCAAAAUUAAAUUCUAGAUUCUUUCAUGGAACACCUAUUCACAUCAUGCGGAACACCAGUGUUCCGCAGAACACAGUUUGGGAAAUGCUGGAAUAGAGAAAUCGGAAGGACUUUAUUAACUUGGUAGUAUAUGAAAGUGGGUGCUUUCAUCACAAAAAUUUUCUUAAGCUUCUAAUUUUCCCCCUUGUGAAAUCUUCCUUAUAUUUGAACACUGGAAUUGACAACAUUAAUUAACAAGUUGAUUUUUGUUUCGUUGAUUUGUUGGUCAGGCAAACUUUUUGCCUUUUUUAAAAAAAAAAAAAAAAAAAAAAGGUAACCCAAACUGAAAACAGAGGUCGUCUUCAAAAUGUAUUUUUAAAAAAUGUAAUAUAUGUACUAAAUGCAUUUAUUAAAGGAAUGUACAAAAGGAACAUUG